rnacentral:lncRNA from 1 species
UUGAUGUAUGCAUUAUGAUAUCGUGUUAUUCUUGGAUUUUUCUUAGUAGGGCUUUGGUUUCAAAGCCCAACUGAAAUCUAAAAUUCUCAUGACCCAUUUUAUUUGAUUGUGUGGUGUGUGAGUGAGAUUAAAUUUUAGUCUCAUAUCGUUAGUUGAAAGAGUUACACCUUCUUAUAAGAUGAGCUCUUCUAACACUUAUACACACAUGAGAAGAGGAGACCUACAUGCACGAUCCUCCUCCUCUACCUUGGAUUGUUUUCCACCUUUCCAGAUCAUUGCAUCGUCAUUCAAGUCUUCUUCAUCCCUCCUUAUGGCGUACGUGCACCGCGAGAAGGGACAACAUGUC